UCGAGCGGCAGCACAGGUACUUGUACCGGGUGGCGAGCGGCGGACGGGUGAGUAAUGCCUAGGAAUCUGCCUGGUAGUGGGGGAUAACGCUCGGAAACGGACGCUAAUACCGCAUACGUCCUACGGGAGAAAGCAGGGGACCUUCGGGCCUUGCGCUAUCAGAUGAGCCUAGGUCGGAUUAGCUAGUUGGUGGGGUAAUGGCUCACCAAGGCGACGAUCCGUAACUGGUCUGAGAGGAUGAUCAGUCACACUGGAACUGAGACACGGUCCAGACUCCUACGGGAGGCAGCAGUGGGGAAUAUUGGACAAUGGGCGAAAGCCUGAUCCAGCCAUGCCGCGUGUGUGAAGAAGGUCUUCGGAUUGUAAAGCACUUUAAGUUGGGAGGAAGGGCAGUUGCUUAAUACGUGACUGUUUUGACGUUACCGACAGAAUAAGCACCGGCUAACUCUGUGCCAGCAGCCGCGGUAAUACAGAGGGUGCAAGCGUUAAUCGGAAUUACUGGGCGUAAAGCGCGCGUAGGUGGUUUGUUAAGUUGAAUGUGAAAUCCCCGGGCUCAACCUGGGAACUGCAUCCAAAACUGGCAAGCUAGAGUAUGGUAG
rnacentral:rRNA from 1 species